AGAAGGGGGCGAGAGCAGGGGUAAACAGCACUGAAAGAGAAAAGGAAGUGAGAAUGAAAGAGGAAAAGUGUUUGAAAGAAGACGAUAAGAAGAGUCCAGAAACCAGAAAGUCCUCUGUCCCAAGUUGUUCAACUUACACUGAUGGUUACAAAGUGCUGACACUGGAGACUCCUUCCAUAAAUAUUAAAUAAAUAAAUCUCUCCUUACUGAAAUCAUCAACUAUUAUAUGUUUUUAUUUGAAGUAAUUAAAGACCACCUGAAAUCAGUACCACCAGACACUGAGGAUCUUCCAUGGAGAAUCCCCGCCAGGCUUGUAUCAUGCCUGUUUUCACUCCCUGCUUGUUUAAGUCUUAUCUUAAGUGAAAUGCAGCUCAGUUUGGAUUCAGUCUUCCUGUCUGCCUCUUCCACCCACAUC
ensembl:lncRNA